rnacentral:rRNA from 1 species
AUUGAACGCUGGCGGCAGGCCUAACACAUGAAAGUCGAACGAGUGGCGGACGGGUGAGUAAUGUCUUGGAAACUGCCCGAUGGAGGGGGAUAACUACUGGAAACGGUCGCUAAUACCGCAUACCAUCGGAUGUGCCCAGAUGGGAUUAGAUAGUAGGUGGGGUAACGGCUCACCUAGGCGACGAUCCCUAGCUGGUCUGAGAGGAUGUACAGCCACCCUGUAACUGAGACACGGUCCAGACUCCUACGGGAGGCAGCAGUGGGGAAUAUUGCACAAUGGGCGCAAGCCUGAUGCAGCCAUUCCGCGUGUAUGAAGAAGGCCUUCGGGUUGUAAAGUACUUUCAGCGAGGAGGCGUUACUCGCAGAAGAAGCACCGGCUAACUCCGUGCCAGCAGCCGCGGUAAUAC